rnacentral:snoRNA from 1 species
AUCCAUGACUCCAUGGGGGCUGCCGCCCGUGGCUGUUUCCCUUCCUAGGCAUGGAAGAGCAGUUCCUUGCUAAUUGGCAAAACCUUUAUCCUCUUGUGGGUAUCGGUCGUUGACUGUAGCAAGUAACAGGC